rnacentral:rRNA from 1 species
GACGAACCGUACGAACGUUACUCGGAAUUACUGGGCUUAAAGGGUGCGUAGGCGGCGCAGUAAGUUGGGUGUGAAAUCCCUCGGCUUAACCGAGGAAUUGCGCCCAAAACUACUGUGCUCGAGGGAGAUAGAGGUGAGCGGAACUUAGGGUGGAGCGGUGAAAUGCGUUGAUAUCCUAAGGAACACCGGUGGCGAAAGCGGCUCACUGGAUCUCUUCUGACGCUGAGGCACGAAAGCUAGGGUAGCAAACGGG